GUGCCAGCAGCCGCGGUAAUACGUAGGUCCCGAGCGUUGUCCGGAUUUAUUGGGCGUAAAGCGAGCGCAGGCGGUUAGAUAAGUCUGAAGUUAAAGGCUGUGGCUUAACCAUAGUACGCUUUGGAAACUGUUUAACUUGAGUGCAAGAGGGGAGAGUGGAAUUCCAUGUGUAGCGGUGAAAUGCGUAGAUAUAUGGAGGAACACCGGUGGCGAAAGCGGCUCUCUGGCUUGUAACUGACGCUGAGGCUCGAAAGCGUGGGGAGCAAACAGGAUUAG
rnacentral:rRNA from 1 species